GAGACAAAGUUCAAGUUCUGGACAACUGUUAUUUAAUUUUGUUUUUUUGAGACAGGGUCUCACUUUGUAUUCCAAGCUGGGUUAGAACUCACUAUGUAGCUCAGUCUGGACUUGUUCUCCCGGUCACCUCAGCUGCCUCAGCCCGGGAAGGCUGAGAUCACCUGCUGGAGCCACCGCGGUCGGGGAGCUCAUUUCGUCCCAGCAAUGGCCCGGAAAGGGAUCUCGCUCUCCAGGAAGUUUUCUCGGACAUGUUUGGAGGCUCGGCAAUGGCUCCCGGGUGACUUCCCAGGUCGACCGACUUUCCUGAGCGUAGUGAAGAGGCGCAGACCGAGCUGGGGACAUGGGCCUGCAAGCGGGAUUCACGGUGCUGCUGGUGCUGCUGCUGCGGACCGAGGCCCCUCAGGCGCGACCCGGGCGGUCUCACUUGCUGCGCUACCUCUUCAUGGGUGCCUCAGAGCCAGACCUUGGACUGCCCUUGUUUGAGGCUUUGGGCUAUGUGGAUGACCAGCUGUUCGUGUCCUACGAUCAUGAGAGCCGUCGUGCUGAGCCCAGGGCCCCGUGGAUCUUGGGGCAGACCUCAAGCCAGCUGUGGCUACAAUUGAGUCAGAGCCUGAAAGGGUGGGAUCACAUGUUCAUAGUGGACUUCUGGACCAUCAUGGACAACUACAACCACAGCAAGGUCAGGAAGCUGGGCGUGCUGGCAGAUUCCCACACCCUGCAGGUGAUCCUGGGCUGUGAGGUACAUGAAGACAACAGCACCAGGGGCUUCUGGAAGUAUGGGUACGACGGACAGGACCACCUCGAAUUCUGCCCCGAAACAUUGGACUGGAGAGCAGCUGAGCCUGGGGCCCGAGCCACCAAGGUAGAGUGGGAAGGACACAAGCUUCGGACCAAACAGAGCAAGGACUACCUGGAGAGGGACUGCCCCGAGCAGCUGAAGCAGUUCCUGGAGCUGGGGAGAGGGGCUCUGGAGCAGCAAGUGCCUCCUUUGGUGAAGGUGACUCGACAUGUGGCCUCUUCGGGAACCUCUCUACAGUGUCAGGCUCUGAACUUCUUCCCACAGAACAUCACAAUGAGGUGGUUGAAAGACAGUCAGCCACUGGAUGCCAAGGUCGUCCAACCUGAGGAUGUGCUGCCCAACGGGGAUGGGACCUAUCGGGGCUGGGUGACCUUAGCUGUGACCCCUGGGGAGGAGCAGAGGUUCACCUGCUUAGUGGAGCACCCAGGCCUGGAUCAGCCCCUCACUGCCACUUGGGACCCCUCACCGGCUCGCACAGUGAUUAUUGGAGUCGUCAGUGGGAUUGCCAUUUGCGUCAUCUUCUCUGUUGGAAUUGUGUUCCGAAUCUUAAGGAAGAAGCAGGCUUCAAAAUGAACAUUCCUAAUUCAAAAAGACAAACCUCUGAGCACCCACCAUUUCACAAGUGCCGUUUAAGGAGAAACCAUGGGCGACUACGUCUUAGCCGAGUGUGAGUGACCCUCAUUCUGAAGCCCUGUGGCAGGGAGGAGACUCAGAGGUGGCACACUUGUCCCAUUGUACAUGUUCCAAGGAGGAGUUGAACCUAACACAGAGAGAAACGGCUCAAAGAACCGUGCUCUGCGUUUUCCCUGGACACUUCCUCAGAACAUUCUGGUAUCCGUCCAGCUGUGCGCUCUUCCUCCAGAGCUGGUUUUCCUGAAUCACAACAGCUUCUAGUGGCUUCUUUAAUUUUCUCCAUCCACCUAGGCCCCAUUCAUCCACCUCCUCAUGGGGAGGACUCGCUAAUUUUGUGUGGAGGGGGAUACAUGAUUCACUGUAACAUCGGAGAGAAGCUACGAGCCCUCAUCCUGGAUGCGCAGUCCUGCAGUCAAGGACCACUCAGCUUUCCUUUGAGACUCUCUGUUAUCCGACUGCCCUGUCACCAAGCUGACUUCUCUUCUGACUUCUGACUGGAGUGUGAUUGGGUCAUCACGCAGAUGUGAGAGCAGCACACUGUUCAUCCUGAGGAUCGAUGUUUGUGUGCAAGAUGAUGUUUUACUCAGCAAGGGGGAGAGAAGUGUCUUAAAGUGGAUUGAAGGUGGGGCUGGGUAUCUUUUUCUAAUUUGUACAAGGAUCCUUCACAGGCUUUCAAGGAUAAUAGCAUAUGCAUUUGUGACACAAUGGCCCUGAAGUACCCUCUCUGUUCUGAUAAUAGGAAUCGUGGAAUGAAUGAUAAUAUAGUGAAAAUUGUGUUUAAGUGAAGCCCUCAGUGCCACGCUGUGCUCCAGGAACCUGCUUCGGCCAGAUUCGCUCAUGGAAGUCACAGUAAUUCUAGGAAGAGGAGGCUGUUGUCUCCUCCAACCCCCCCUUUAGAUGAUUAAAAGGAAGAAGAGAGCAUCUCCCAGCUCCUCAGAGGGGGUGUGGCUUU